GUUCAUAUAUUUCAUGUAACCGUCUCUUUUAUUAAUCGCAA
rnacentral:sRNA from 1 species